rnacentral:tRNA from 1 species
CCGUCGAUAGCUCAGUUGGCAGAGCGGUGGACUGUAGAUCCAUAGGUCAUUGGUUCGACUCCGGCUCGACGGA